rnacentral:ncRNA from 1 species
ACAUGGGGUGCCCGGCGGGCCGGGCUGAGAACACACCCAUCGAACCUGAUCUGGAUCAUGCUGGCGAAGGGAUUGUCAU